rnacentral:miRNA from 1 species
GUACAUGUGCUGUGUGUGUGUGUGUGUGUGUGUGUGUGUGUGUGUGUGUUUGUGCGCGUGCGUGUGCUCAUGCACAGACCC